UCCACCAUUACAUCUACCAAGGAAUUGAAUAAAGUUUAAGCAAUCAAUUUCGGGUACGAACACGACUUUAGAGAUUCUAAUCUCUUGGGUUAUAAAAUCCUUAAUCAAACCAUUGGAGCAGUUAAAAUCCGAUACAAAGUUUUGAUCAAUCAUCUUCAUGCUUCUCGAUGUAGCUUCUCUAUGGUCUGAUGUAAACUGGUGCAGCGGAUGAGAAAGAGGUUCACGUGGAAAUUGGACCGGUUGAUGAGAAUGAGAAAUCAAAUACUCCUAUUGGAGCUGCGCUUUCGGCUGAUGAUGCUACGGUUCGUGAUUUAGUUGGAGAUGCAUUGGCUCAAACCUUGCGUCUGUCAUGGCUGCUGUGGUCAGCGAUCUGGCAGUGAGCUUUCAUUGUUCUCAGCGAUUUCGUCUGCUAAUCUGGGUUUAUGGUUAUAUACAUAAAGUUCAUGUCGUCUUAAGCCCAGAUGCAAAGGCGGUUUAUGGAACUCUUUUCGAGGCAGAGCAUUACUUUCUACUUCCCAUAUUGGAACUUUCCUCCAGCCAGAUGGUAAGUUCCAAGAUGGUAAGUUCCAAGGCAAAGAAAAUUCCAAAGUGAUCUCAAGAUUAUAUAAAAAAAAUUUCUAAGCAAAGGGAGUAAUGAAAGUAUUUUUACCAAUGGCGAUGGCAACAAUGACUGUGAUUUAGGGUUUCGAUUUUAUUUCCGAUGAUCAUGCGACGGUGGGAUCCCGGAAAGUUACGGUCAACAAUGGGCCAGUUUCUACGGAUUCAAAGGGAGAUUGUGUUGAGAAGAAAUCUUUUCGAUUUACUAAGGAAUUUUCAGAAAAAUAGAAAGACAGAGAUCGAUGGAUAUUGGGGAUCAAGGAGAUCUGGGAAUCGUAUCUCUUUAUUGAACUUUUGGACAUUAAACGGACAAUCUCUGGAUCUUCGAGGUAGGAUUUCCGGUCUCUUUAAACCGGAUUUAGAUCUGAUAACAAGGGGUUCUAGCGAGUAUCGUCAGAGAACUCAAUCUAAUGGUUAUUGGAACUGUGCUAAGGUGUCAGAAAGGGUGAAAAAGAGAUCAUAUUCAAACAGAGGAGACUAUAGAAGAGACGAGGGAAGAUCGUGGUACAGGAACUCUCGUUACGAACCCUCAAGAGGAUAUGCUCAAGAAGAUCGUAAUAGGUUUGCUCGUGGUUCCAGGAGAGAAACCAGUCAACUAAGGGAUGUGAUGGAGGAAGAUCAUGAAGAAGGUGAGUUUCAGAACAAGGUGUGAUAAGUGAAGGAAGAUCACCAGGGAGACAAAGAGAUACCUCAGACUAAGAAUGUACUGGCGGUUCAGAUGGAGUUGACCUUGCCACAAAUCGUCUCAUAUGUGGUAAUCUUAGACUCGAUAAGAAUGGAAGAUGGUGUUGACUUAGGGAAUAAAAUGUUAGAGGAGGGGAUUAAUGGUUUACGUGAGGAUGUAAUGGUGCUUGAUGACAAACAUGUCAACAUGAGUGGGAAAGGGAAAAAGGAAAACGAUGAUGAUAAGUUUCUGAACAUUACUGAUGAUCUUAUGUAUCAAUACAUCAUUGGAAAACAGUUAUGGAGUUCGGUUGUGGUGUUUGAUU